ACUACAGGAAGGCUCCAAAGUACUACAGCACUAAGGCACCGGACUACUACACGACUAUAUAUGCUGCCCCAACCUACGACACUGAGGCUACAGCUUAUUACACCACCAAAGCGGUCGAACACAGUGGUACCCAAGUACGAUGGAAAUCUGUCCAGUGAGCAUUUCCGCCACCCAACAAGGCAGCCCCGAAGUUUCGAAUAAACUUCGUUUCAAAUAGUGGAACGGCAAAUAGCGAGGUCUCUUUUUCGAACAAGACGAAUUCUAUUGCAAUCCCUUUAAGAUAGCGGCGGCGUUGCAGUCGUACGUUGACAACGCGUCCUUAAACUUGACAUUGUUGGUCGGAAAGCCUAACUUUAUGAUGGCCGUACCAUCACCUACGACAAGUGCCUUAUUGCCACAGGUGGUAAACGAAAAUCUUUGCCAAUCCCUGAGCGGUGCCCCUAAAUAUGUCCACGAGGAAGUGACGCAACAUCUAUGGCCCAGUCCUCUCUAACUAUUUGAGCCAAUUGACUUUCGAGAAGGUUUCCACCUUCUCUCCACCUUCUCGCGGAAGACGUUUAUGUGUUGCCCAAAGCUAAUGUUGAGGGUGUAAGUCUGGAAGACAACAAGGUCGCAUUGACCUUAAACGAUGAUCAAAAG